UCUAGAUGUUGUGGUCAUGGUUCUUCCGAGUCGUUCCAGCUCGGAAGCUAAGAGGGAAGCCGGUGCGUGUUCACAAUGCCGGCGCUGCCCCCGCAACUGUAAGCAGUGAGCUUGCGUCGAGAUUAGCCACUGGUGCCUGACGGCGCCGGGAAGGCCGACAAAAGCGGCGACCUGCGAGCCAGGAGACCUGCCGUGACGGAUCUGAACGA
rnacentral:ncRNA from 1 species